UAAGCGUGCUUGGGCGAGAGU
rnacentral:siRNA from 1 species